UACGAAGGGGGCUAGCGUUGCUCGGAAUCACUGGGCGUAAAGCGCACGUAGGCGGAUUGCUAAGUCAGGGGUGAAAUCCUGGAGCUCAACUCCAGAACUGCCUUUGAUACUGGCGAUCUUGAGUCCGGGAGAGGUGAGUGGAACUGCGAGUGUAGAGGUGAAAUUCGUAGAUAUUCGCAAGAACACCAGUGGCGAAGGCGGCUCACUGGACUGGUAUUGACGCUGAGGUACGAAAGCGUGGGGAGCAAACAGG
rnacentral:rRNA from 1 species